rnacentral:rRNA from 1 species
UACGAGGGGGGCAAGCGUUGCUCGGAAUUAUUGGGCGUAAAGCGCACGUAGGCGGUUCGUUAAGUCGGAUGUGAAAGCCCUCGGCUCAACUGAGGAAGUGCACCCGAAACUGGCGAGCUUGAGUACGAAAGAGGAUCGCGGAAUUCCCGGUGUAGAGGUGAAAUUCGUAGAUAUCGGGAGGAACACCGGUGGCGAAGGCGGCGAUCUGGGUCGAUACUGACGCUGAGGUGCGAAAGCGUGGGGAGCAAACAGG